CCGGGAGUCGUCACCGCAGCAGGAGAGAGAUGAGGCUGUUCGAUCCAUGGCCCGUGUUCUUCAGGAGGGAGUGGAACCGCAACUGGCCCUUCCUCACCGGCUUCGCCAUCACCGGCGCCCUCAUCACCAAGUUCACCGCCGGCCUUACUGAGGAAGACGCGAAGAACUCGCGCUUUGUGCAGGAGCACAAGAGGUAAAUUCCCAUGUUUGAUCCGACACCAGGGCUGCUCAUCCGUCAGCAAUGAGUCAGCUGCUUGCUUAAAUUCCUGUUUUUUCUGUCUUGUAAAAAAUAAUGACCAAUGUGUGGUUUCUGACCAUUUUC
rnacentral:misc_RNA from 1 species